rnacentral:piRNA from 1 species
AGGGACUCUUGUAUGUAAUUUACCACUUU